UACGUAGGCAGCGAGCGUUGUUCGGAAUUACUGGGCGUAAAGAGUGUGUAGGCGGUGCUCUAAGUUCGGUGUGAAAUCUCCUGGCUCAACUGGGAGGGUGCGCCGGAAACUGGAGUGCUUGAGCGUGGGAGAGGAAAGCGGAAUUCCUAGUGUAGCGGUGAAAUGCGUAGAUAUCAGGAGGAACACCUGUGGUGUAGACGGCUUUCUGGACCAUAGCUGACGCUGAGACACGAAAGCGUGGGUAGCAAACAGG
rnacentral:rRNA from 1 species